CCGCCGGGAGGUUGGAUCACGUCCGCGCUCAGCUCUCAGAUCCCCUGUCGGCCAUUUUAACCUCCUGUGUGGGCACCAGCAUGUUUCUUGAAUUCGUUGACCAACUGCACUUCAAAUAGUGAUAAAAUAUCAAUAUUUUAGCUUCAAAUGUUCGGAAACAUUUAUAAAAAGAAUUGGAAGAAAUUAGAUUUCCGACGUUCCGUCAAAGACACAAACUUGAGCAACUCCUUUCCCCCAAGAAACACCCGGCAUCAUCUGAGCGACAACUGCAGCGGCGACGCGUCUGGAUCGCAGACCGAGCGACGGCGCGCGGCCCCUCGUCAAACAAACAGUGAUCUGAUUCAUGUGAUGCCUGCGGAGAUCGAGCGAGGAGGAGGAGGAGGACCGGACGACACUAUGGGAGAGUUAAACUAACAAGACUUCAUCGUCCUCAUCACUGUAGUGUUUGUAUUGCAGAUCAGAGUCGUGUGACGCGGUGCAAGCUUGUGUUUUGUGAGCGUAUAAAGUGCGUAACCAUCGUACAGUUCCAGUAACUCACGCUGCGUUCCAUGACAUCUCGUUCCAGCUGCAACCUCCGACUCCGAGGUCUGCGGUUUCAAGUUCGGACGUGUGAUGGAACGUCGGUGUUACGCUGCAGGUUCGUGUUCCAUCGUUUCACGACCUCGCCGCUCGACAGGCGAGUCGACCUCGGGACGGAUACGACCUUACGGACUCAUGAUCAAAAUGUCAGCGGAGGACACGAAUGGGGAUUUUCACUUCACUGUUGAGCUCUGGAAGACAGAACACCCUGUUCUACAGUAAGUACAGUAUCUCCCUCUCUGUUCUUUGUCCCUAAUCAUCCCCCCUCUCUCCAUUUUUUCUUCUCUUUCCAUAUUCCAGCCACUCAUCUUGUCUCUGACAGAGAGGACGUGAGACGGAGGAGGAGGAAGAAGAAGUAGAGCGAGGAAAGUGGGCAGAUUGAGAUACUCGGCAGUGCAUGUUCUGGCCCAUCUGACAGGCACGUUGGCUUCUACAUCAGUCGAGUGAUCAUCUUCCUGCUCGGCCGUGUCCAGCGAUUCGGAUGCGUCUGAGCGUGGCCUGCACAUAUCCUGAAAUCUCUCAGAACUACACACCUGGACAUUAAACAGUGGAAACUCCACCCGACUGGCGACGAGAUCAUCUCCCGUUUGUUUCAGCAGCUGAGAACAAGCCAGAAUUUGAUUAUUAUUAUUAUUAUUUUGUUCCCUCUUGAGGAUUGGGCCACGUUCAACCGCCGCGCUCUUUGAUACGCGUCGCUGUUUCCAUGCGGCCGCCGCUCACACACUGUUCUUUAAUUUUCCCUCACGUGCACAGCAGCGAGCAGGAAUCCCUGGAGCACAAGAUAAAAAAUAGAAGAACUGCAGCCGUGACGAACAGCAAAGAGUUGGAUGAGAGCGAAAAAAAAAUGUGCAUUCAUAUGUUUACAUUUUACGCAAAAUAAAUGAUGUUUAUCUUCUUAA